rnacentral:rRNA from 1 species
AGAAAGUAGCUUGCUACUUUGCUGACGAGCGGUGGACGGGUGAGUAAUGCCUGGGAAUAUGCCUUGAUGUGGGGGAUAACUAUUGGAAACGAUAGCUAAUACCGCAUAAUGUCUUCGGACCAAAGAGGGGGAUCUUCGGACCUCUCGCGUCAAGAUUAGCCCAGGUGAGAUUAGCUAGUUGGUGGGGUAAGAGCUCACCAAGGCGACGAUCUCUAGCUGGUCUGAGAGGAUGAUCAGCCACACUGGAACUGAGACACGGCCCACACUCCUACGGGAGGCAGCAGUGGGGAAUAUUGCACAAUGGGCGAAAGCCUGAUGCAGCCAUGCCGCGUGUAUGAAGAAGGCCUUCGGGUUGUAAAGUACUUUCAGUCGUGAGGAAGGGUGUGCAGUUAAUAGCUGCAUAUCUUGACGUUAGCGACAGAAGAAGCACCGGCUAACUCCGUGCCAGCAGCCGCGGCAAUACGGAGGGUGCGAGCGUUAAUCGGAAUUACUGGGCGUAAAGCGCAUGCAGGUGGUUCAUUAAGUCAGAUGUGAAAGCCCGGGGCUCAACCUCGGAACCGCAUUUGAAACUGGCGAACUAGAGUGCUGUAGAGGGGGGUAGAAUUUCAGGUGUAGCGUGAAAUGCGUAGAGUCUGAAGGAAUACCAGUGGCGAAGGCGGCCCCCUGGACAGACACUGACACUCAGAUGCGAAAGCGUGGGGAGCAUACAGGAUUAGAUACCCUGGUAGUCCACGCCGUAAACGAUGUCUACUUGGAGGUUGUGGCCUUGAGCCGUGGCUUUCGAAGCUAACGCGUUAAGUAGACCGUCU